rnacentral:ncRNA from 1 species
GUGUUGUAUGAAAGGAGAAAAGGUUAGCACUCCACUUGACGAGGAUGGAAGAGGCGCUCUGGUCUGUACAGCACACACGCGGUUAAAGCAUUGCCACCUACUUCGUAGCAUCUGACCACUGUUUUUG